rfam:Myotis davidii contig194180, whole genome shotgun sequence.
GGCGGGUCUUGGUGAUGCACCCCAGAAUCGGGCUCCCUCCUCUCUGGUUUUGUGUGUGUCACCUGAGAACUGCA